rnacentral:sRNA from 1 species
GAGGAGGAAGGGGUGAGAGGGAGAAACCUGCCGCGGCUCUCCGCCUCUUUGUCUGCUCUGGGACUUGGAACAAAAGGGGGAACUCUGAUGAACUCCUUCUCCCGCUCCCUGGACGCCCGGGUAUCUCUUUCUCGCAACUUUGUCAAGGCGACUUUCUCCGCUGUCAGGCUGCGCAAAAGUGUCCCAGCGCUUCGCAGGCUGCAACAAUGGAAACAAUGUUCCUUCAAAGUGGGACGAAGUAGAGGGAGAAGGUGUCGUUGCCAGCAGCUCCAAGUGUCAUAUCAGGCACUUAGCAGAAGUACUUCCUACUGAAAUGCCUUGGGAUUACUCUUAUUGGAAAUAUACCUACCAGCCAGUAGCAUGGAGAUGCCAGGACCCCAGCAAGUUAGCACUGGAUGAAAUACCAUCAACUUCUUCAUUUAGAGUUUCUUCAGAUAAAGUGUUGCGGGUUCUGACAAGGCUCUCAUUAUGUGGAUUAUUGGAGUGUGAUGCCCAGGAAUUCUCUACUUAUAGAAGGUAUGUUUCUUAGACACCCACAAGCACUUCCUUUUGGGCCUGAUACUUAAUGCCGCUGGAGGACUGUCUCCUUGUUUUGAGCCGUUGCCUGACCAAGUGAUUUAUAACUUUCUGUUUCCUUCUUGGGGACUGUUUUGUAGACAGUUUCUCAAGUGAAAUGAUGACUUGGAAGUGUUGAUGAAGUUUAUUGAUUUUUUUUAAAACUAUAUAUCCGUCAAUAUCUGCACAUGUAAUGAAUGUUGAUUUAUGUAGAUAUAUGUACAUUUUAUGUCAGUAAUGGGCCCGAUGUCUUCAACAGUCCAUACCUUAUUUUAUCUGUGGCUGGUAUCCACAGCCGACAUUUUCUUUGAACAGAACAGGCGUGCUUUAUGUUCUUGUCGUUAUUAUUUGCAUUUUGGCAGUUUAUUUUGUAAAUAAAGUCCAGAAGUGACCCCCAAAUAAAUAUAUUUCUAAUGGUAGGAUGUCAAUACAAAAUGCAACGAGUUCUCUUAGAAUGAAAGGUUUGGCCAUGUCAUAACCAAAGGGCUUGCGGAUGUGUUUAACCUUCAUGGCAGAUUCCCAAGAUUUUGUAUUCCCUUUUGAAUACCUUACAGGUAAUUUCUGUUCAUCUCUGGGAAUGCAGCUCAGCGUGUUGUCAUCUCAAUAGCCACAUGAAAAGUUGUUUCCCUACAGGGUUUCCUGCCCUUGUGGAAGUGGUUUGCCCUGAAAGCUCAGUUUGGUCAAAAAAAAAAAAAAUUAAUUGGGAAAAAACUUACCACAUUAUGAGUAAAAUAGAAUGAAUUUGGGAUUUGUGUAAAACUAGACUUUGAAACCCUUCCACACUUCUUUUGUUUAUCACCUAUAAAACAAAGGUUUAAAUGAACUUCCGAAAUCCUUCAUCUCGAAGAUGCUCCGUUUUGUUCCUGAAAUUUAGAUAUGUUUGUUCUGCAGUUAAUUUUCCAGUUGUUAAACAAGAGAGGGAAGGCCCUGGAGUCUCACUCCUGUGCUUGAUUGCCGCAGAAUAUACUUUCAGCAAAGUGUGCUAGACAGAGGUGUCUGUGUUGCCUGGCUUUCCCUGGAAGUUCAUCUGCUAGAGUAUUUUUCUCAGAGAGGACGGUGUGGCUCUCAGGAAGACCGUUACCCUUCUGAAGUUACUGUAUGGGAAUUUGGUUUAAUGGCUACCCGGUGUGGGCUCAAAAGUUUAGUGUUGGAAUGAGUCCCAGCCCACUCGAUUGCUCUCCGUGACUUCUUUCUUGCCCAGGUUGCUUGAUUUCCUUGAAUCUUACUUAGUUUUGUCAUUUGUGAAGUAGGUACCCUGACACCUGUCCCAUACGGUUAUAAGAAGCAUGUAUGUGGGACUGGGAUGUCCGUCAGUUAUAGAAUUCUUUCCUAGCAUCAUGAGACCCUGGGUUCAAUUGCUAACACUGCAAAUCACAACAGAACUCCCAAAGCAUAUAUGUUUGGAAAAAAUGUAACAGGGGGCUUAGCAUUAAUAAACUUAAUAAUCGAUAUUACUAUUAACUUACUCAAUGAGUUAGUGAUGUUUGGAAGCCUCAAACUUUCUUAACUGGCUUACGAAAUAUAAACCAGGUCCAA